UACGUAGGUCCCGAGCGUUGUCCGGAUUUAUUGGGCGUAAAGCGAGCGCAGGUGGUUUAUUAAGUCUGGUGUAAAAGGCAGUGGCUCAACCAUUGUAUGCAUUGGAAACUGGUAGACUUGAGUGCAGGAGAGGAGAGUGGAAUUCCAUGUAUAGCGGUGAGAUGCGUAGAUAUAUGGAGGAACACCGGUGGCGAAAGCGGCUCUCUGGCCUGUAACUGACACUGAGGCUCGAAAGCGUGGGGAGCAAACAGG
rnacentral:rRNA from 1 species